UUAUACAUCCCAUAUUUACAUCAAUUGAUAGGAAAUUGAACUGGGGAUAAUCAUCUCUUUAGAGAUGACAUUUUUCGAUCUUCGCAAUAGUUUUAUCAAGGAACUAUCAACAAAAUUCGAUAACUUUAUUGUAGCAUGUAUCAAUUUAAAAAAAUUUCGUUUCGGAAUCGUUUCUCAUAUAAAAUAUUAAAUGUGGAUAUUUUCAAUAUACUUUGAAAAAAAUAUGUCAGUGUAAUAUCGUGAUAUUUUUUAGUUUUAUGUGAUUUUUAUUUAGUCAGUGUUUGUUUUAACCCCCCCCUCUCCAGAUCAUUAUUUUUUUGAAAAUAAACCCUUACUAAGUGGUGGUGAAAGCCCAAAAUCCAAUAAUAUUGAGGGACAGUAAUAUCUGUAAUGUAACGACUGUAACGUUCAUGCAAAACAUGUUUUUUUGUUGACAAAUUGUCAUCUUAUAGAGAAAUGAGGUAUCAGAACAAUUUCACAUUCAUCAAAUGUUUUAUCGUUUUCGGU